GGGAGGCAGAGCCAAAACCGUAACAGCCAGAGCUAGAGACUCCGGCCUGGGGUUCUGGCUCUGUCCCGUAUCAGCUAGGAAACCCAGGGCAAGCUACUUAAACUCUCAGAGGCUCAGCUUUUUCAUGAGCAAACAGGAAAACAGGGCUAAUGAUUAGUCCUUGGCUUAAAAUACAUACCGCGUGUGAAAUUGCAGGUAUAUAAUAGAUUCACUAAAUGAGAGGGCGAGUUAUCAACACUUACUCUCCAAUGCGUCAUCACCCCCAACACUCCUGUGUAUUUCCUGCAAAUAAGGAUCUUCUCCUACAUGGUCAGUCCGAACAACCUUCAGUCACAACUGAGAAGGUCACAUGGUGCAUCACUGCCGCUCAGUCUCCCCAAGCCCAGUGAUUUCUUCACAAAGCCAAAUAUGGUGAUAGAGACUCUCAUCAAGGACACUGAGUAAACCAGAAACCUGCUUGGGCUCACGUUCCUUGUCUCUUCUUCUCAGAUCCAGGAAAGGAGCUGUCCAGGACAAUGAGGAUAGGCUGAGGAAAGACAGGCCACGGCCUUGCCUCUGUGCCAGCUCUCAUGGGCCAGGCAGAGUAUCCCAGGACAACUGCCUCCACAACCAGCUCCAUCCUUCAUCAGCAAUUCAGUACCUGAUUAACAAAUCUGUACCCCAGGAGGUUAUGCCAAGUCCAACUUCUUCCAGAGACCACAACAAUAAAUCCAAGCCACUGCUAAUGUCAUUUAUAAGCUGUGGGAUUAAAACAGAGAAGCAAUCAAUUAAUUAAAAUUAGCUCUUUAUUGAAA
ensembl:lncRNA novel transcript